GCACCGGUGGCUCAGUGGUAGAGCGUCGCACUCGUAAUGCGAAGGUCGUGGGUUCAAUCCCCAUCCGGUGCA